CGGGUGAGUAACACGUAUCCAACCUGCCGUCUACUCUUGGCCAGCCUUCUGAAAGGAAGAUUAAUCCAGGAUGGCAUCAUGAGUUCACAUGUCCGCAUGAUUAAAGGUAUUUUCCGGUAGACGAUGGGGAUGCGUUCCAUUAGACAGUAGGCGGGAUAACGGCCCACCUAGUCUUCGAUGGAUAGGGGUUCUGAGAGGAAGGUCCCCCACAUUGGAACUGAGACACGGUCCAA
rnacentral:rRNA from 1 species